UACGGAGGGUCCAAGCGUUUAUCCGGAAUCAUUGGGUUUAAAGGGUCCGUAGGCGGUUUUGUAAGUCAGUGGUGAAAGCCCAUCGCUCAACGGUGGAACGGCCAUUGAUACUGCAAGACUUGAAUUAUUAGGAAGUAACUAGAAUAUGUAGUGUAGCGGUGAAAUGCUUAGAGAUUACAUGGAAUACCAAUUGCGAAGGCAGGUUACUACUAAUUGAUUGACGCUGAUGGACGAAAGCGUGGGUAGCGAACAGG
rnacentral:rRNA from 1 species